rnacentral:lncRNA from 1 species
GGGAUGCUACAAAGAGAACAGGUCUUCAGACUUUCAGAAGGGAACAUGACCGAUUCUGGAUCCUUGCGGCUCACCCUGAGAUGAAUCUUCUAGCUGCCGGUCAUGACAGUGGCAUGAUUGUAUUCAAACUGGAGAGGGAACGCCCUGCAUUUUCUGUGAGUGGUGAUUCUCUGCUUUAUGUGAAAGAUCGCUUCCUGCGCAUUUUUGAGUACUCAACUCAGAAGGAUACUCAGUUGAUACCAAUUAGGAGGCCUGGUUCUAACAGCUUAAAUCAAGGCCCCCGCACUCUUUCCUACAGCCCUACUGAAAAUGCUGCUUUAAUAUGUUCAGACAUGGAUGGAGGUUCUUAUGAGCUCUAUAUUGUACCGAAAGACAACUAUGGUAGAGGUGAAACUGUUCAAGAAGCCAAAAGAGGUAUUGGAGGUUCAGCAGUUUUCGUUGCUCGAAAUAGAUUUGCUGUGCUUGAGAAGAGCAGCAACCAAGUGGCGGUCAAGAAUCUUAAGAAUGAUACUGUGAAGAAGAGUCCUCUUCCUAUUGCUACAGAUGCAAUUUUUUAUGCAGGCACAGGAAACUUGCUGUGUAGGGCAGAGGACCGAGUUGUCAUUUUUGACCUCCAACAGCGCUUGGUACUUGGGGAACUUCAGACUUCUUUCAUCAGGUAUGUAGUCUGGUCACAGGACAUGGAAAGCGUUGCUUUGCUCAGCAAGCACUCAAUAGUCAUAGCUGAUAAGAAACUUGUUCAUCGGUGUACUCUUCACGAGACAAUCCGUGUCAAGAGUGGAGCUUGGGAUGAUAAUGGUGUUUUCAUAUACACGACACUAACGCACAUCAAGUAUUGCCUUCCUAAUGGGGACAGUGGAAUUAUUAAAACCCUGGAUGUCCCUAUAUACAUCACUAAAAUAUAUGGCAAUACAAUCUUUUGCCUGGAUCGAGAAGGCAAAAAUCGUCCUAUUAUUAUUGAUUCAACCGAGUACAUUUUUAAGCUGUCUCUGCUAAGGAAGAGAUAUGACCAGGUCAUGAGUAUGAUUAGGAACUCAGAACUCUGUGGGCAAGCCAUGAUUGCUUAUUUGCAGCAGAAGGGAUUUCCAGAAGUUGCUCUGCAUUUUGUAAAGGAUGAGCGAACUCGAUUCAACUUGGCUCUCGAAAGUGGAAACAUCCAGAUAGCAGUUGCAUCUGCUAAAGAGAUUGAUGAGAAAGAUCACUGGUACAGGCUAGGGGUGGAGGCCCUUCGUCAGGGUAAUGCUGGCAUAGUUGAAUAUGCAUAUCAGAGGACGAAGAACUUCGAGAGGCUGUCAUUCCUUUAUUUGAUAACAGGGAAUUUGGAAAAGUUGUCCAAAAUGAUGAAAAUUGCUGAAGUUAAGAAUGAUGUUAUGGGCCAGUUCCAUGAUGCUUUGUACCUGGGUGAUAUCCAAGAACGUGUCAAGAUUUUGGAGAAUGCUGGUCAUUUGCCCCUUGCAUACAUCACAGCCUCAGUCCAUGGGCUUCAUGAUGUUGCCGAGCGUCUCGCUGCAGAUCUGGGAGAUAACGUCCCAACUUUGCCCAAGGGGAAAUCUGCUUCACUCUUGAUUCCCCCAAAACCUGUGUUAUGUGGUGGAGAUUGGCCCUUGUUGAUGGUCACGAGAGGGAUCUUUGAGGGUGGUCUUGAUAAUGCUGGGAAGGGUGCACAAGAGGACUAUGAAGAUGCCGCAGAUGCUGAUUGGGGCGAGGCUUUGGAUAUUGGUGAAGUUGAAAACAUCCAGAAUGGUGACAUCAGUAUGGUCUUGGAUGAAGAUGAAGUGCAGGAAGACAAUGAGGAGGGAGGAUGGGAUCUUGAGGAUCUGGAUCUGCCACCUGAUGCUGAUACGCCUAAGACUGCUUCAAAUGCACGUUCAUCUGUAUUCAUAACACCAACUAAUGGAAUGCCUGUUAGCCAGAUUUGGGUUCAGAAAUCAUCCAUUGCCGCAGAACAUGCUGCUGCUGGGAAUUUUGACACUGCAAUGCGGUUACUGAGCCGACAAUUAGGAAUAAGAAAUUUUGCUCCUUUGAAGCCAUUGUUUAUUGAUCUUCAGUCAGGCAGUCAUACUUAUCUGCGUGCCUUCUCCUCUGCACCAGUGAUUACUGUUGCAGUUGAACGGGGUUGGAGUGAGGCAGCAAGUCCUAAUGUGCGGGGUCCACCUGCCCUUGUGUUCAACUUUUCUCAGCUGGAUGAGAAACUGAAGGCUGGCUACAAGGCCACAACUUCUGGAAAGUUCACUGAAGCACUGAAACUAUUUCGGUCUAUUCUGCAUACAAUUCCCCUUAUUGUAGUUGAGACUCGGAGAGAAGUGGAUGAAGUUAAGGAAUUGAUUGUUAUUGCAAAGGAGUAUGUUCUAGGUUUGCAAAUGGAGCUAAAAAGGAGGGAAUUGAAGGAGGAUCCUGUUCGUCAGCAGGAGCUAGCUGCCUACUUCACUCAUUGCAAUCUGCAGCUCCCCCAUUCUAGACUUGCCCUAUUGAAUGCCAUGCUUGUUUGCUACAAGGCUGGCAACCUCAGCACUGCAGCAAACUUUGCUAGGCGCCUCUUGGACACCAAUCCAACAAAUGAAAACCAGGCCAGGAAUGCUCGUCAAGUUCUUCAGGCUGCAGAGAGAAACAUGAAAGAUGUUUCUCAGCUGAAUUAUGACUUCAGAAACCCCUUUGUGACCUGUGGAGCCACGUAUGUUCCCAUAUACCGUGGACAGAAGGAUGUCAUCUGCCCUUAUUGCGGUACCCAUUUUGUUCCAUCACAGCAGGGGCAAUUAUGUACUGUGUGUGAUCUUGCUGUUGUUGGAGCUGAUGCAUCUGGCCUUCUUUGCUCUCCUUCACAAAUGCGAUGAUUACAAUUCCUUUGAAUAUUUAGUUCAUCCCAACAGGCUGUGUCGUUAGAAACAUAAAGGUAGGAAUAUUACUUUACCCACACUAUACUUACUUUAUUUCUGCAAUUGGUUUCCUACACCCCCCCCCCCCAUUUUUUAAUUUGCCUGUAGCUUUACCAAAUGCCAAAAAAUGAAACUGAUGUUUGCUCACAUUACCUGGAGUUUUUCUUUACUAAUGCCUCUCGCUCAAAAAACAUCUCAUGUCUUUCCCUUUUAUUCAUCCAUCUCAUAUUUCUGCACUUGCUGAUUAACUUUCCAAAUAUAAAUGAAGAAUUGAGGUAAUUAUCCAUCUAACAUUGUAGCGAAUUCUUGGAAUAUUCUCUUUUUCCACAUCCGUCUUAUUCUUUUUUUUUUCCUUUGGUGGGCGGUGUGGAUAUUUAUGUUGCAAUUGCUUUGUAUGUGGCAGAUAAAUAUUUUUUCUCACUGUUGCUGUGAAGGAAGGGUUUCAUCCAGAGACUUUGUAGGGAAAGCUGGAAGAGAGCUAUUUAGAACCUCUGUUUUGUUUUGUUGAAUGAUGUCGUCUCUCCAUCAAACAAGGUCAGGGAGCUCUACUCUAUUGGCCGGUCUGAUUUUGUUCUUUUUCCCUUUCUGCGGUGUGGCUGGCUAUGAAUAAUGUAAUGGAAUUUGAUACUAUCUUUUUGUAUUACUCCGUAUUUGACUAGUUUUUUUCCCCCUUCUUACCGAUAGUGUUAUCCUUCUGUACAAGUUUUCAUUCUUUUUGCUAUAUCUACUGAACUCAAUGAUAUCUUAAUGGGAUUCAGUAUUUAGAACUCUCUGAAGGGAAUUUACUGCAGUAAGAGCAAUUGGUAGUUACCUUGGCGUCUGUCUUGGUUUGAAUUUGAUUAAUGGUACCUAUUUAAUUGUCCUCAUAUUGUCUUCUAAGUUUCGAGUUGUCAACAGUUCAAGCGGGGGAGGUUUCUCUCUGUUGAAUCAAAUGGAAUUGCCCCCUCUCUCUUUUUUUUUUUUUUCCCCGGUCUUUCCAUCGUUUUGUUUUGAACUGAUUCUGGUGUUUUACACUAAAUUUAUAUUACUGCCAAAACAACCCUAUUCUAUGAAGAACGUGUUCAAACCCGUUUAAAAGUUGUAAGCUUGAGACGAACCAAUUUACACGGCAGGGGAUUACUAGACGACCCAAUUUACACGACUAGGGAUUUAGACGAGCAUUACAUGGGUCACGUGGGAGUAAUUGAUGUCCCUGAGUAAGUGACUUGUAUAUCAUGCGACAGAAAUUGCAGACUGCCAGAUGCAAAUGGACCUCCUGAUGCACUGAAGUCCAACUGCUAGGAGUAACAAUCCCGGGUAUUGCUUCGUAAAAAGAAAAAAAACUAGUGUAUCAGUUAUAUUGAUGCUAGCUUGUAAUUUGACUGAUCAACGUUAAUCUUUGUCAUGUAGUGGUACCAUGCAACCUUAGUGUCAGUUAAUUGCAACUGAUAAUAAACAAGUUGAAUUUCCAAAAGAUUGAAGGAACAGGUUUGUGCUUUGGGCUUCAGAACACAGAAUCUCAGUAGGGUAAAACCCACUGCAGACACAGUGCGCGUAGCAUACAAUGGCCCAUGGUUGGUUUCCAUUCUUCCGGCAGCAACCCUUUUCUUCCCCUGUUCUACAUGCUCCGACACUGAAUGGGCCUUCCACCUAUUUAAAUCAUUUUAUUUGGGGUUCGAGUUCUCUUAUGUGGGGCCUCUUGUAGUUUGGCUCGUUUCGGUUUAUUUGCUUAAGCUGGGCUUGGAUCUGGGUAUUUAGCUGUACAAAAGUAUGCCAAUGCCACCCUCUCUUUUUUUUCCCGGUUGAUAGAUUAUCACGAUAACCAAUAAUCUUAAGACGGUGAAAUCAUUCUUUAUACCCAACAAAUUAUCUCAUACCCAACUUAUUUUAUGUAAAAAAAUUUCUUUACGCAUGUCAGUUUGCAUGUGUAACAGAAUCACGUAAGAAAGCAUGUGAAAUUUCUUUGCAAGCAGCAAGUAGUAAUUGACUUGGUGCAUAAAAUAAAACGUUAAAUUUGGUAGUCUGUAAGUCAAGUCCUUGUUCCACAUUUCCUCGUGAUAUUUGCUGAAGGCAAUAAAAUUAAUUUCCCGUGUUCACGCCCCCCAGUACCAUACUUCAGACGAAUCCAUAUACUUUGAGGUCGAAGAGGGUUCUCUCUGACAAUUCCUUUAACCGGUUAUCGCAGGACAUAACAUGUAUAACCAACUCCCACUCUCUCUAGAGGUGUUGACCACAACAUUAAUUUUAGGACGAGAGGAGGACAAUGGUUCAAAAUUUUGUCUCCCAUCAAUAUGUCUCUAUAUAAGGAUUGUUCUAAAUCUAUACGGGUGCGUGAUACACUCGUCUGAUCUGAUGGCGAUUUAGUUCCCGUCAGAUUCCUUCGACUCAGUUGGGCCACCCCUAGAGUGGGCUUCCCCCUAUAGGACAUAACAUGUAUCGCUUGGAAAAGCUCUUACGAAGUGCAAUCAGCGUGAGAAGAUGGAAAGUUUACCAUGAGUAGCUAUGCAGACAUUUAUACAUGAGCACGUAAAUAUGAAUAUGCUGUUGUAUAUAUAAAUGUAUGCAUAAUUAAAUCUUUCUCUAUAUUUUUAGUGCAUAUGCUUAUGGAUCUAAAUAGACGUUACAACAUUUUAAUUUGAAUUUGAAUAUCAAAUAUAUAUAUAUGACAUGCAUUUUAAAUUCGCUCGUGUAUUUUAAGCUAAAUUUCUUUACCAAAAAUAUAUUACGGCCAUACAAUACAUAACAGGCGUAGGAUAUAUGCAAGAUCUGCAUAUGAUGUACUCCUACUAGUAUUUGUACAGAUCACAGAGAGCCAGGCAGGUAGCCAGCCAAUUUGAGGUUUCGAUUAACAUAGGUAGGGAUUUUGACCCCAAAAAAAAAAAUUAACAUAGGUAGGGUUGUGAAAACUCAAAAGUUGCUGGUAGACAUGUGAAUUUCGGAGGCAACUGUGAUUCUUUCGGUUUCCUACACCAAAUAAUGACCGACCCAUAACGGCCAAACGAGCCAAUAAUAAUCAUAAGCUUAAAGAGAAACCUACCUCCCGCUCUAAAAAUCAUCACCUAAAACAUCCAUAUGCUACUACUACUUUUACUACAGCUCUCGCUAAUUAUUGGAAUUAAGUUUUGCGCCCCCUUUAUUUUAUUAGUUAGAUUUUAUCAUUAUGUCCAGCACAUGGGGGGUCAGGAGGACCCCACCAACUUGCCGCGGACCCACCCUUUUGUAUGACUAGGCUGAGGACCAUAUCUUUCGGCCUUCCUCGUUCCUCCUUUUGGCCUUUCUCGAGUUCGAUUCGAGUUGUCAAUUUAAUACUACCAGUAAUUUUGAAAAAAAAAAAAAAAAAAACUAGGUCCAUCCAUCCGUACAAUCCCGCCCUGUGAAUGGACUUUCCAUAUAUGGGUUCUAUUUCUACUAGUAGAAUGAACAAAGCAUCCGUCAAAAUACAUACGGAUAAUUAGAUGUUCCCCAACAAAGAAAAUCUUCAAGGUUUCAAAUUCAACUUGAGUAAAGCUGAUCAACGAGUAUAUUUAAAGAAAAUUAAAGAAUUCUUCAACAUCCACCCAAUUCUGGAUGGAUCGAUAAGAAUGAGAUGCCAGUUGACAUCAAUUGAUUGAUGGAGGAGUUAAUUAUCCCUGAGUUAAUGAGUGAUGGUGACUCCAUACAUCCAUAAUAUAUCCAUGGAACAACAGAAAAGAAGUACAGCAGAAAUUACCAUCUCUUAGUUCUUGAUAGCUGAGUACUAGGUAGAUUUAUAUCAUCAAAAAAAAAAAAAAGGUACGUUGUAUAGGGUAGCUAGGUACAUAUUGCACUGGCAUCCAUGUGUUAUUUAUCUCAGACAGUCUGGUGCAUUUUUGAACAAAUAAUAAUGUGGCUUCCAUUUAUUGGAACUUUAAUUAUUUUGCAGAUUACAACUUUUGUAAUCAGCUUUCCAGCAAUAAAAUUCAAAAGUUGAUGGCUGGAGUGAAGCAAUUGAGAGUUUCCUUUUCCCCAUUUUUGUUUUUAUUUUUUGGUAGUGAAAUGUCGUUCUCUUUUAAUUUUUUUUUUUUCAUAACGAUAGAAUUUCUAUAAUCUAAUCUAACCUAAUCUAGGAAGGAGAACUCGAUGCGAGUAUAGACUCCAUCGAAGAAGGCCAAUUAAGGUUGGUGGGAGACAAAGGUUGAACUCUUGACCUCCCACGCUACCAAGUUAGCAGUGAUCACCGGGCCAAAAGCCUAGUGUCAAUGUCGUACUCUAUUUGAUGGCUAGUAGAAUAGAACUCAUUAAAUUGAAGCUCAACCCAAUAGUAAGAGAUUAAAGUAGGUUCUCAAUUAAUUACGACAUUUGAGUCCGUAGAAUUCAAAGAAAAAAAAAUUUGAUAGCCAAGCGUUUUAGCUUCAAAUGGAUGUUGCGCUCUGCGAAAAGCUAAAACUUGGAUUUCGACAAGUUUCCAUGCAACAUUUCUUAAUCCCAUAUUGAUUACCGAGCUCUAAUGGGUAUUAUAUCAUGUUGAAUAAUGAGCUCUAGUUGGGAUCACAACAAUAAUAAUAUAUAUAUAUAUAUUUUACGUUUCUUGCAAUCAUAAAACCAGCCUCCCAGGUCUUCAAGUCACAUCUAUGUAUCCGCUAAAGAACAAUUCCGCUAGUCUCGAAACGCUAGACGGAAGCUUCCUUGUCCCGAAUUUUACAUGAUCAAAAUGGGAGCGUGAAAUCCUUUUUUGGUUUACUGAAGCUUGGUUUACAUGAUCAAAAGGGUUUGUUUGGAUUGCUUCAUAUUUCCCCAAUUUUAUUUGCUUACAUCAUCUUUACAAUUUUCAAUACACCUUUUUAUCUUCCCAAUAUCUUUUUAUCUCACAUACAUCACAUCACAAAAAGUGCUACAGUAAAAAUAUCCCAAAUAAUCCCAAAUAACUUACAAUCCAAACAGACCCUUAAUGGUUUGUUUGGAUUGAACAUUAUUUUUUCAAUUUUAUUUAUUUACAUCAUCAUUACAAUUUUCAAUACAUCUUUUUAUCUUUUUAAUUAUUUUUUAUCUCACAUAUGUCACGUCACAAAAAGUGCUACAGUAAAAAUAUCUCAAAUAAUUUACAAUCCAAACAAAAUAGCCACCAUAACUAGCCCCUUCCCUUCCUAUCCCCUUUUUUUUUCACUAAAUUCCCUCCUGGAAGAGUUACUAGCAUAGCUUGGACAGUAAUUUUUUUUUUUAAUAUUAUUUUGCUUACAUCAUAAUUAUGAUUCUCAAUCAACCUUUUAUUUUUUUCAACAAUCAUUUUGUCUCAAAUAUAUUAUAUCACAAAAAAGUAUUAUAGUAAUUAUUACAAAUAAUAUUUCAAAUAAUCUUCUAUCUAAACAUGCUAAAUUAAUACACUAGAAAAUUAAAACUAUGUCUGGGUAUGUGUCUCUUAUAUAUAUGUGUGUGUGCGCGCAUAAUAAAAUGCAACUGAAACAUCAAAAAGUGUAUAUAAAUUAAGAUAAUGAAGGAAGUCAGAGGUAUUGAAUUCGAUUUCAACUAUAUAUGAGUUUAUUUUGCCAUUAUAUGUGAGUUUUUUUUUUUAUAAAAUAUCAUAAUUUCAUUGAAAUUUACAUUAAUGACAGAAUUUAGAUCAUUAAAUAUACACUGAUAUGAAAGACUAAAUCUGAAAUUUUGAUACCAGGGAUCUAAAUAAUAGAUAAAAAUUAUACUGUAAAUUUCCAAAAAAUAUUUUUAAAAUAAGAUAAAAUAAUUGUAGCCGCAUGAACAUCUGUGCAUGCUUCCAAUUGUCAGAUUUGCUGAUUAACUAUUUUAAAUCCUGAUAUUAUGGUGAGAUCUGUCAUAUAAAUUUAAGAAAUUUCAGAUCUGAUAAUAAAAAAUUAAAAAAACUCAGAUCUAAUAUAAAAAAAUGAAAAAAUUACCUAAAACUCCCACCGGUAAUCCCUAGCAGAAAAAAAAAACUUUUACUAGAAAAGUAUAGAAGAGCCCAAAAAAAAAAUCUCAUUAAGCAACUUUUAGAGAAAAGAUACUCUAACUAGAAAAUCUUAAAAGAGAAUUUAUUCACACAAAUGAAAAAAAAAACUAGAGAGAGGACUUGUUCUGGGAGAAGGAUCAGAAAAACUUGUUUAUAAAAUCUUUCUUUCAUGGGAGAGUUGGAGGAAGUUUUUAUUAGGCAUUAUGUGCGAGUUAAUUUGUAGGAUUAUUAUUGUCAUGUAUUUGAGUUAAUUGACUUAAAAUUCGGUGCACAUCGUGGUCUAUAGGUAUUACUCCAACUAAUGUGGCGGUAUUACUUUGUAAUCCUAUUAAAAAAAUACCUAGGGAUAUAGGUGUUACUAAUACUUAUCCUUCAAGAUUCGAAAUUGAUCUCCUAGAUCCAGGUCUCUCUAUUUUCAUAACAAUGAAUUUAUUACUUCUUAGUCCUCGGGAUGUAGUAUUAAGAUGAUUACUUUGAUUGGACUCGUUGAUGAUUUGCUUUACAACUAUUUCCAGGAAAGCACACACUAGCACUACAUUCCCGUUACAAAAAACUCUCUACAUGUAAUUCGAGAGAGAGCAAAAAUGCACAGUUAUGAGAAGAAGAAUAUCUAGAGCUGGGGGCCGGGCAGGGUUGAAGAGAAAGUUCGCAAUAGUAGCUAAAAUUUUGGUAUGUUAUCUCACAUUGUUACAGAGUAUAAUUGAAUUGACACGGACAGGGACACGGGACUCAUUCGGAAUCAGAACAUUAGGAGAGUCAACCGGGGUAAAGCUGAGCACAGGGCUCGAGAAUGGCAGAGACACAAUUAUUGGGACUCGCACAUAUCCAUUCAUCAUCAGCCAGUCCAGCACCCCUCUAAUCCUUCUUUCUUUCUCCUCCUUUACGUACUUGAUUCAAACUAGCAAUAAAUUUGAUUUUACCUCUGAGUCUACUGCCUCUACUUCUACUACUGCAUAUCUUAUAUCAUCAACCAUAACAACAACAAAGCAACUCCUGCAGGCAACCUACGGCUCCUCUAUCAAGUUUCAUUUAUAUCCAUGAUGAUCAGCAGAUUUUCUGGGAUGACCCUUGCCAUAUCAUAUGACAUAUAGUAUGACUUGCUCUUUUUUUUUUUUUUUUUUUUCUAUAACAUGUGAUGUGCCCAAAUGGAUUUUCAAGCCCUUCUUCUAUUUGCUGCUUUUCAAGAAAGAAGAAAAUACACUACUACUAGUACUAUGAUUAUGGUUAGACUCUCAAAUGAUCACGAUUAAAAGGAAUGUUGUAGUAGUAGCAUCAAGUCUUGGAAAAGGGAUUCCCCAUUUUCUGGGAUUUAGCAAUUGGACUCAAAUUGCAAUCCUUAGAGGAAGGAGAUGGCUACGAUUUUCAGACAACAAUACUAGUACUAGUAAUAAUCAAAGUUCUUUUUUGGCACGGACAGAUUUUAUGGGAUAUAUCAAUGAAUCAUCAUAUCCUAGGAGUCUGCCUCACUUGGAUUCGAGCCUGCAGGCCUUGUUUAGUCUUGUUUUUCGCCGAAAAAUAGUCUUGUUUUUCGUGAACAUAUUUUUUUAUAAUAUUUUUUUCCUUACAUAUAUCAAAUUGUUACAGUAAUUUUUUCAUAAAAAAUUCCGGUUUAGAUUGUAUUUUUCAGGAAAAAAAAUACUAUAACGAUUUGAUGUAUGUGAGGGGAAAAUGUAAUAAAAAAAUGUGACUACGAAAAAUGACACAAUUUUUUGGCAGAAACUUACAAUCCAAACAGGUUCGAUUAGCCAACAAACAAUACUGAACUUUUUGAAAGUGAGGGUAUAUUGAUCUACUGAAAUGAGGGCAUGAAUGAAUUAAUUACCCGUGGAAUAAACGCUUUCAGAAGCUUUCUUCCACCACAAAAAAGGACAAAAAGAAAGAAAGUUCGUUUAAAAAAAAAAAUGAAAGCAGCCACAAGAAUCGAUGACUACAAAUAUAUACAUAUAUAUAUAUAUAUUCUGGGGAAAGAAGAAUCGAUGACUAUUGUCAAGUCGCGAGCUAUCUAUCAUGCAAAGGUUUGCCUGAGAAUAAUUGGUCAGAAAUAUAAUAAUAAUAAUGUGGGUGUGGCGCAGGCAGAUAUUUGUAGCCAUGAGAGAGGGCAGAGGGUCAAAUAGUGAAAAGAAAGAACCUCGGGCCCCUAAAAAUAUAAAUAUCCAAUUUGAAUUGCUAUUUACUACUACCACUGCUGCUGCUGCUACUAAACAAACGCUCUUACACACUCAUCAUUGAAUUUUGGCAACUAAUUAGUGCUUUUCACGUUUUGGUUAGCCCAAAUUAGUAUUGAAAAUUGAUCCGAUGCGGCCACUGAUUCUUGAUGAUUUCUUCUAAACUGAUUUCUCAAAGACCUCGGGGGCAAGCCACGGCUGGAUUUGGGCCGUCGUCGGUCUCGUAUAUAUUAUUGAAAACUUAAUAAAUCUAAAUACAGCCACUAAUUAGGGGAUGUCACGUGUUUGUUAAAGCUGACAAAAGAAAAAAAAUUUCUUCCCGUCUGAUAAUUAUGAGGAUGGCUCCCGUGACAGAUUACAUACAUUAUAUAUAUAUAUAUAUAUACGUAUAUAUAUUGAUUAUAGAGCCAGUCACAAGGCUAUACUAUUAGCACUAAGCCAAGUCGGAGUUCAAGUUCAAGGUUGGUCCUUGGCAACUUCUAAGUUGUCUUAUCGAACAGAUGUUAAUAAGUUAACUCAGCUUGAAAAAGUUAUUGACAACGUUAUCCCGACAAUUUUGACUAAUGAUGGGGAGCAGAAUGAAUGAAAUAACGAGAUCGAGAAAGUCUAGACAACAUAAUUAUCUCAAUAAUUAUUUCUUUAUGUAUGUGUGUUUUAUUAUUAUUUUUUUUUAUAAAACAAAGCGAAUAGCAUGAGAAAAAAACUAGUUAGAAAUCAUCUAACACGAUUUAUUUAAUGUAUGAUGCAUAAAAUAUGCCUGAUUUGAAUUUAACAGAGUUACAAAAUAAAUAAAUAAAUAUAUAAUGUGAAUCGCAAAUCAUCAGAUCUGACCAACUGUAUAAUUUGGAUUUCCAAUUUUAUUUCACAAAAGUAAAUUGCUACUAUUUGAAAUUGUUUGGAUUCCAUUGUGUUAUGUUUAUAUAUAUAUAUAUAUAUACACACAUACAUAGUACAUACAUAUUCUUUCUUCUUCGUUAUUUAUUGUUUUUGAGUAGGCUCAAGAACAAGUAGCAAAUUUCUUUUGGUUUUCUAAGGAAUAACGCCAACGCUAACACAAAAUAGCAAGUAGCACUCAUAGACACCUUUACCAUACGAAAGAAUUAUAACUUGACGUGAUGAUUUCAGUUCAUAAUAUACUCUUUGUUUCAGCAUUCUAAUGGGAUUUUGAUCUACGCUAUAAUGAUCAAAUUUGUAGAAGAAAUUUUGUGAUAUAACUCAAUGGAAAAGAAGAGAAAUUUUCUCAACCGGUCUUAAUGAUUCCAUCCAUGUUCAUUCUCUAUGAUUUGGUUAGAGACUCACAACCUGAGGAUAAUGCAUGGGCAGAUUGAUACGUCACGCACCAAUUCCACAUAAAAGGGAUGGAAAAAAAAAAAAAAAGAAGAGGAGGGAAUGAGAGUAAAGCAAUUCUUGGACUCGUGAAAUGAUGCUGAUCUUCCGAUGUCUUUUGUUGGACGAAGGGGUAUAGGCAGCAGAAUAAAGAACUUAACAAUAAUAUGUCGACAUUUAAUUGUUUCCAACCAUAUGAAAAAAUCUUACUUUACAGUUUACACCAUUGCAUCAUAUUAGUAUUAAAUUAUAAAGAAGUGCUACCACCACAUGGGCAUUCUACAAAACCAUAUCCAUAUGCAUCACAGAAGAUUGCUAUUCUUUCAAUUAAUACUACUUGAUUACCUUAGAUUUGAUUUCUUCUGUUUGGAUUAACUAUGUUUUAAGGUAUUUUUGAAAUAUUUUACUGUAGACUAGAUUAUUUUUUAGGCUGUUUUUAAGGUUCUUUUAUAUAUAUUUUUGAAGUUAUUUUUUAUGUUUUUGAAAUUAUUUUUAUUUAUAUAUUUCUGUAAUAUUAUACAUAAUUUUUUUUAAAAAAAUAAUCAAUUCAAACGGAGCACUGUAAUUUUUAAUUUCUUUGUGCCUACUGCCUACCCUAUAUAUUGGUGCGGAGUGCAUAGGAGAGAGUACGUGGAAACUUGCGUUUGCGUACAUAAAGCGAAGCAAGUUUCAUGGAGACGGAUCUUUCAAUUCUCUGUAUGGCCUUUACAGAGAUCCACUGUUGUUAUACCCAUAAAAGAACAUAAUUAAUUGAUCCAUGCAUUAUUGUUGCUGGUGCAUACAAACUCCCAAGUCAAGGACCCCCCCUUUUCUUUCUCCCUCGAUCUUCUCUUGUUCUUGUAUGUUACAUCACUUCUGUUACUGUCAAUGGGAGUUGACCUCGAAAUAGAGCACUGCCUUUACAUUUCUUCAUUGAUCCCAUCAAUAAUAUUCCUAAAACCAAACUCGAUGUAGAAUGGAGUCAAUCUUAAAAUGAUUACUCAAAGAGUUAAGAGAGGAAUACGAGGCGUUUAUUCUCUAAUUCUAGAAAUAAUUGUGCAAAAUACUUACUACUGUAGUAUGAGGCUAAGGCCAACCAUAUGCUACUUACUAUUGCAGUUUUCUGAAUUCGAGAAUUCCUCCUCUAUCAUCCUAAUGUCCGCCCAUGAAUACAUCUCUCUCAUGCUAUUGCUCUACAAUAAUUUAAUUGAAUGAAAAACUUCUUGAGAUGUUUUCAUUCAUGCAAUGCCAAAUUUUAGUAUAUAUAUAUAUAGUCAUUGGUCUGAAAUUUCUCAUCAACUUGAAAAUCUUACCUGCAAGAUCAAUUCUUAUCAACUCUUUAGCUUUGGCAUCUUGUUCGCCUAUCAUGUGUAUGUAAAUGGUUAAAAAUUCCAACUAAAAGAAAAGCAAAUAUCAACUUGAAAAUCUUACCACACACUCCAUUGCCCUAGUGUCUAGAUGAUGACCCCCUAAUCAUCCUCCAUUGAUUGGUCUGUGAGGGAAGAAUUAGUAAAGUUACCCGUAGCAUACCGUUUCCUCAUUUAGUAGAUGGCUUUGGCUCCGUUGGGAAGUUAAUAGUAAAAUCCAUCUUAAUUAUUAUGGUAAGGGGGUCAGAGGCAAAAAAAAAGUAGAGCGUGUUUUCCGGUGCAAGGACGAAUAAGCAAAAGCUGAUGCUUCGCCACGUGGGAAAGCAUUGACCGUCCGAUCGUCAUGCAAGGGCUAGGAUUCAUCCCUCAUUGAGGGAGAUUUUUGUUGCAAACUGCAAGAGAACUGUAGAAGCAAGUGGUAAGAUUUUGUUGUGCCUGCAGGCUCAAAGAGCCAGUUCAUUCAGUGUUGUUAAGUGUGAUACCUGUACAUGUAAGUGCGUGAGUGCGUGAGAGAGAAGGAGAUAGAGAGGAAAUAUUGGUACUACUAUUACUGUUGGUUGUCUUAAAUUGAGGUUGCAGAGAGGGUUCUCAGAGGCCAUGGCGGCGUUUGCAGGAGCUGUGACUUUAAUGCUUCAAAGAAAGACAAGGAAUUCAAGUUAGCAGCAGCAAGUCCCCAACUCCAAGACUCAGAGAAGAAAACCGUCCUGCUUCCUUCCCUCCUUUCUCUUUCUUUCUUUCUUCUCUCACCCCCGCCCUUAAAACAUUUUCCCUAAGCCUGUCCUGAAAACUGAAAAGCUGCAUUAAAAACAAAAGACACCCGCAAAACACACACACCCUUACAACUUUACUACUACUACUACUACUGCUACUGCUACUGCUACCACUUCCCACUUAUUCAAACCAACCUACUAGUCCGAACCCCAAAGAAUAAAAAGAAAGGGAAGAAAAGAACUUGAUGUUUCACAGCAUACCAAAUUCUUGUCUAGGGCGUAGAGGUUGAGUUGGGCUAUGGAUUUUUUUGGAGAAUUGAGGAGCAGGAGGGUAGAGUUAGCUGGUGGUGUCUUUCUCACUAGGGGUAGAAAAUGUCUGGGUUUUUUUCACUAGGUGGUGGGAAAGAGCAAGAGCAACAAGAGCAGCAAGAUACUACCAAUAAUAGCAGCUUCUAUCUGUUCAAGAACGAAGAGAUCUAUAACAAGGGUUUUGAGCUAUGGCAGCAAUACUACCAGUUGCAUCAACAAAGAAUACAACAUCAUCAUCAUCAUCAAGUAGUUGGGCAGGAUGUGGAUUUCUCAGUGGGUCCCAGUAGGAGGAUCAUCAGUAGCGGUAGUGGUGGUAGUGGUAGUAUUGGUGAUGAUUCUUCCUAUAGAUCAGCAGGAUUUAGGGUGAUGAGGCACGGAGGAGGAGGAGGAACUGGUAGUGGCAGUAGUAGUGGUGGUGGUGGUGGUGGUACUAUGAAUUGCCAAGACUGUGGGAAUCAAGCUAAGAAAGACUGUCCACAUAUGAGGUGCAGAACUUGUUGUAAGAGCCGAGGGUUUCAGUGCCAAACUCACGUUAAGAGUACUUGGGUUCCUGCUGCCAAAAGGCGUGAAAGACAACAACAACUCUCUGCUCUGCAAACUCACCAACAGCAGCAACAACAAAAUCAACAACAAUUGAGCCUGAUCAGAGGUGAUAACCCCAAAAGACUCAGAGAAAAUCCAGGCGGAGGAGGAGGGGGCUCUUCCUCUCUUGCUUGCACUCGUUUGCCUACUUCCACUUCAGGUAACGUUUGUUUUCUUCAAAAACAUCAUCAAGCAAAGCUCCACGGAGUGGAUUUGAUGGGCGUUUCAUUCAUCUAGAUACAACUAUUUUUCUUAUCUUAAAGGCACACUAGUAGUAGUAGGUAUUAGGUAUGUAGGAAUUAGGAGGAAGAAACAACAAAGCACUUGCACACUCUCAAUCAGAGACUGUAAAUGCUAGCUCUAUAGAGAGAUAUCUCUACAGGAAAGAGAGAAAAUACUCUCUAUACCAACAAAAUUCUCAUCAACACUUAGUACAUAUAUUUAUUAAUAAUAAGAAGUCAUACUCACCACAACCACCACAGCCAGCAAAGAGAUCAUAUCUUCAUAUCCUUUGCGUGCGAUCAAUGAAGUCCACCUUCCAUGGUCAGAAACACUCACCCUUUUGUCUUUAUUUUUCUUUCCAUGUCUUCUCUCCUGCCUUUCUUUUCAUUCUCCUCCUUUUACUACUGUUACCGAGUAAACCUGACCAAAAAGUCUUGUUCUUGCUCUAGUAAAAAUGCUUUCUUUGCACUUCCAAAAUUUGCAGUUCCUUUUUCUUUAAAGGCCAUUUUUUUUGUGGGUUCUGAUUUUUAUUGGCUUGUUUUUUUUGACUAGGGUUAGACGUGGGUAACUUUCCGGCUGAAGUGAAUUAUCCCGCUACAUUUAGGUGCGUAAGAGUGAGUGCAAUGGAUGAUGCAGAAGAACAGUACGCGUAUCAGACAGCUGUUAACAUAGGAGGUCACGUUUUCAAGGGAAUUCUCUACGAUCAAGGCCUUGAAAGCCGCUACGCUACUAGUGGAGGAGCUGGUGCUGGCGAAGCUUCCUCAGGCGGCGGUGGAGGUCAUGGUCAUCAUCAUGAUCAUGAUCCGCAACCACCACUCAAUCUUAUCGGGACAGCCGCCGCGGCCACCGCCAACGCUGCAGUCACCUCUACCAACCCUGCUCUCACUAUGCUUGACCCUUCCAUUUAUCCAACUCCACUAAGUGCUUUCAUGGCCGGUACGCAAUUCUUUCCACCACCAAGGUCUUAAAACGAAAAAAAAAGAAAAACAAAGUGCUAACUGGUAGUUGAGGCUAAAGAGCUUUCCCUUCUUGACUGCAUUCAGUAUACAUUGAUCUGAUGUUGUUUUUCAUUAAGUGUAUUGACCAUUGACAUCCCCCAUCGAAGUAGUUGGGAAAAAAAAAGGAAGAACAGAUGAGUAACAAAAAUGUACCAUGACAUUUCGGUUAUGUUGGUUUCCAUUUCGAAUUUCUUUGCCAUUUUGAUCGUUUUCAUUCUAUUAAUAUUACUAGUAUUGUUGUUGUUCAUCUUCUUGUUGGUUUGAUACUUUUUUUUAAUAAUAAUUAUUUUUUUGGGAUUGUUUUUUCCCAUUUCGAGAGGUUGGUGUAAUAUGCAACAUGUGGAUGUGUGCACAGUAGGCAUAUUCUGUGGGUUUUUGUUCCUUCUUUAUGAAUUUACCUGUUUCGGGUGUGAUUUUUCGUUGGCUUUUUUCGUUUGUAUUGAACUUGCAUCUGCUUUUUUCCCUUUUAUCUGAUUCCUUGCCGGAAAAAUUGAGACUAAAUAGCUGGUUUCAUGUUCGUUUUGGACCAAGAUUUUUUAUAUCCUAGUUCGCUACAUGCCAUCCAUGUUUCAUGCAACAAAAUAAUAUACAUUAUAAUAUGCGCACCGUUGAAAAUCAGAAGAGAAAACGGGGUACUAGAAGCGGUCCAGCUCUGCAAGUCUCCCAUGCAGUGGCAAAUGGCAGUUUGUCAUCACAGUCCCAAAAGUAUACGAGUCAAGAAAUCUCGCUCCUCUCUCACCUUGUUUUUGUUUGAUAUACGUGUAUGAUGAUUUAAUGAAAAGUUUGCUAAACACAAAUCUUCUCCAGUAAUAGAAACUUGAGGGAGACUAGGUGGAGCAACGUGCAUGGAUGUGACCUGUAGAAAAAUGGGACCUGUUGAAUCCUAAAUGCUAAUCUUUAAUGUUGGCAAAUGCACAGAGAUAUAAUGCUCUUAUGAUGUUAGACAUAUACGCGAGUGUGUGUGUGUGUGUGUGGGGGUGUGUUUGUGUGUGCAAGUAGAGCUUAAUAAGUUUGGUUCCUCAAAAUUAUAAAUCUUGAUGUAGGUUAAAAGUUGUACACAUCAUACGAGCAGAUUAAAGUUGCCUUCCAUAGUUUGCUAGAUUUGGUGUUGACGUAUACAAACCUAAAUUGAAUAAGCUUUCCUAGAUUCGAGACUUCUGCCCCAUACCAAGUACUCUUUUAUCUUGUAUCAGAUUAGGACAAUACACUCUUUUAACGGAUUGGCACAGCACUUCCAGUUCCUUUUUGCAUGCAUCCUAUUGGAUCUUUCUGCUAGUCUUUAAUGGGAAAAUUGGAGGGGGAUCUGGAAGCAUUUUCCACUUGCGAUCUUGAACAAAUAGCAAAGAAUAUCUUGGAGUAGCCAUAAAAUGUGUAGUCACCGGGCACGUAUGCUUGCUUUGAGUUCUUGCAAAGUAGUAUUGUGUUCUAUGGGCAUCAAGAAGAGAAGUGCUCUCAGUUGAUGUACAUGAAAAGACUAGAUGGGAUCUGGCUUCAACUUUUGAAAUCUAUCCUAUAAAAGGAAAGCAUAGAAACCUGAGUGAAAGAAUGACUGUUGCCCUUUAGUUUCAUGAGAUAUUUGGAGGAAUUUUUUUUUUUUUUAUAUGUCGAAGUAACAUACACAUUAAAAAAGUACAUGAUCACUUGGAUUAGUGCAUAUUUGAGUGCCAUUAUGAAAGAGUAAAGUUGGAAUAAAAGAUUACGUUAGAACUUCUACAUGAUGUAAUAAUCCCCACCUUGAGUUCAUGGGGAGAUCUGUUCACUUUGACCCUUAUGUUGUAUAUGAUGAUUGUAUUAGAAGCUUUCUUUGGUUCUGCAUUCCAAAACUUGCAUACCUCAAGGGGAUUGUUUGUUGGAUGAACAAGCUGUCUGCGAAUAGCAGAAUGUGGUUUCAUGCUCUCCAUCUCAAGUAGAAGCUUGGUGAUUUCUUCCAGCUAUCCAUAACGGACCGCUAAAAAUAAGAAAACAGAUAAACGAUGAUCAUCUAAGAAUUUCCAGUGUUCCACUAAAUGUGUAGAUGUUGAAAUUGAGAAACUAGGAGUGAGAAGUGCAUUAAAAAUCUGAAUGAAGGCCAAGCAUUUUGUUGAUUAAUAAUACCUUUGAAUUGUCAUUUUAAUCAAUCGUUGAGCAAGAUCGGACCAGUAACUAACAUGUGCUAUCAACCUCUUGGUACCGUGUCUUUGCAUGCUUGUAAAUUCGUUGUGCUGGAACGACGUUGUGAGAUUAUUAAGUACAUACAUUAAAGCUGCAAUUGCUUGACACUGGCCUGCGAAUCAGGUUGAUGCCACAAUGCCUCUGGAGGUUUUUGUGCUCCCUUUUUUAUGAUAAUUCAGUUUUCAACACAUCUGUUUCUCAACUCUUUUUUUAUUUUAUUUUAUUUUAUUUUAUUUUAACCUCCCGUCCCCUCUCGUACCCUUCCAACUCUCAAGUGCCAGUCCUAGGUAAUAAUAGCUGGCCACAGGUUAGGGAAUUUUGUCCUCCCAUUCAUUUCCAUUCUUUGGUUUGAAAUUUGAGGCAAGCAAAUCGAUCAAAACAUUAGCAAGACAAACUUGAGAUUUUUCGUCUUGUGAUCAUAUGUAUAGGUGUUGAACUCCAUAAUGAAAUAGGUAAGACAUGCAUUGCUUAAUUAUGACCUCACCUCAUUGUGGUGGAUGACAAUAAUCAAUCAGUAAAGAGGACAAACAGAAAAAAGACUUGCAACAUGGGAAGCUGAUCCCAGUUGUUUUAUACUCAUCAGUAUAGAAAGGCCGGACUCCUCCAGUGCAUUAGGCUUUAUAGGGUAUGGAAAUUUUAGGAUGGUAGGCUGAGGACAGCCGCGUGCUCGAUUCUGCUGCUGCUGCUCUUCUUCGCUUUCUUCUCUAAUUGACCUGGGAGAAGUGGUCCAAAUUUCAACUUUGUUGCAAAUGUUGCUACUACUGUAUCAUGCUCUCGAUUCCAUCUUUCCCUGUGGGUUGGGGUGCCGAUGGCUUAAUCCAUCCUCCUUUUUCCAUUCCAUAAAUGUGUCAAAUAAUAAUGGAGUGGCAGCUAUAUAUGGCGGGCUGAUAUUGGAGAAUGCGAGUCCCUUUGCAUGGAGGGCUGUCCUUCCUCUCUGGAUUUCCUUGACUAUGUCAUCACUCGUACUCAAGGGUGUGGACCAUUUUCGCAUUCUAUUUACCCAUAUAUGGUGCAUUAUGUAAAAAGUGACAAUCAAAGUCCGUAAACUUUAGGGCACUUAUUUCUGAUUUAAACCAUCAACGUAUCUACCCAACAAUCCACAGACGCAGAUUCAGCACUGCAACGUUGAAGAAAAAUUUCGAAGAAACAAGAAACUUGUAUAGGGUCAAUAAUUACUUACUUUUACAAUAUGAACAUAAACUUUUUCCAUAAAUUAUUCGUAUAGCAAAAGAAUAAAAUAAAAUUGCCUUGCAGCCAAAGAGACAACAACGAAUCUACAAAACAAACACAAGCAUAACUUCAAUAUUUGACAAGUUAAAGAACCAUCCUAUAACGUUUUGUUUGUUUAUGAAAUUUGUUCAAAAAAAUUAAUGCUUAACGAAUUAUAAAUUUAUGCAUCACAAAAAAAAAAAAGAAAAGAUUUAGCUGUAGAUAGGGACGUUUUUUAGUUGUGUUUUGGUGGGUGGGGGGGGUGGUGGGAAGAAAGCAAAAUGUCAAAAAUUAACAUCUUAAUAUAUAUAUAUUUUUUUGUCCAAUUAGGGGAGACUUUUUAGGUGCUGUUUCGUUCAAAUUUUCAGCAACACUGUCAUGCACCAUGAUAAAUUGGGGAAUAGCUAUGGGUUUGAUAAAAACCCGAAAAGUGUUAGAUGACUUUACACCAAUGGGUUUAAGUAAUAAAAAAAAAUAUAAUAGAUAACUAAAACUCUACUCUUUAGUAGUAAGUAGGACUGCAAACGAAUCGAACCGGUCACGAGCGGCUCGAGUUGGAUAUUGAUUGAGCUUGAGUCGAGUUCGAACUAGCCAAAUCGAACUUGAGUUCAAACUCGAUAUCAAAAUAUUAAGCUUUAUUCGCGAGGUCAAAUAUGUAUAUAUAUUUUUUAUUUUCAUAGUAAAAUUACAUAUAUAUCCCUAAUUUUUAAUUAUUUAUUAAGAAAAAAAUUAUUUUACUCAUUUUAAAAAAAAUAAUAAUUUUUUAUUUUUUCGAGCUCGAACUUUACUUGAAUUUGAAUUGAGCUCCAGCUUGACCUUUAAAUUAGCAGCUCAUCGAGUUCGAGUUUGAUAAAAUUAAGUCAAGGCUCAACUCAAUUAGAUCAAAUUUCGACUCGAUUCAACUCGUUUGCAACUCUAGUAAUAAGUCAUGAACCUAUUAAGUAAUUUUGAUUGACCUUAAACAUAUUUCUUAUUUGUAUACAGGUGUGAUUGAACCUUAAACAUUGUAUGCGGGUGUGAUUGAAAUUGAAACAUAUUUCUUAUAUCAAAACUAGCUUACUUAAUGAACACCUCAUUAAGGCUUCUAAGGGAAAACAGGGAAAGGGGAUUUUUUAUUUCCUUUUAAGUGCAAGUAAAAGAUCUCAAAUCAGAAAUCUCACAAGGAGAAGGAAAGGCUUAAUCUACAAUUGAACCUACCAACUGAAGUUAUUGUUACCCUAACGUUAGCUAGGUGUUUGAGAUAAAAGAAAUUCUUCUGUUUCAAAAAGGCCGAAGAAAAAACAGUUCAAACAGAAUUCAUGGACUUUGGACUUUGCAUAAAUGCAAGACAAGUCCAUACCAUUCAUGGGCCAAAUAAAAUGCCCAUAUCCGAAUCCCAAAUUUCAAAUAUCCUUUUGCGGGCUUUUGGUCCCCACCCAAAAGAGCGUAUCCAACAGAGGAAGUUUCCAGCGGCAUUGGACAACGACGUGGUUGAACGUUCGGUAGAAUAUCACCAACGAGGCAACCAGAAAAAAUAUAAAAAAAACUCAGAGGAAGCAAAACAUUGCGACAUACUGGCACAAGGACAGAGCACUUUUUUAAAUUCCGGCCAAUCAGAACGAAAGAAGAAAAAAGAAAAAGAAAGUGCGGUAUUUUUAGAACGUGAGAAGUCAUAGGGCGCGUAAAUUCCCCUCCGACUAGAGGAAGUAAUCGGAGGGAUCAUAAAUAAAAGCGCGUUCUGCAUUUUAUUCGUUUGUUUUUCUAGCAACAUUUCCUGAUUGGGAAAAUAAUAUAAAUUUAAAAAGGAAAAGGAUUAAUUGAAGAAGGAAUGAGUUCUCCGACGAUGGAUCUGCUGCGGUCGGAGCCGAUGCAAUUGGCGCAGUUGAUCAUACCUAUGGAGUCGGCUCAUCGCACAAUAUCGUAUCUCGGUGAUCUCGGCCUUUUCCAAUUCAAAGACGUAAGCUGCACGCUUCACAUUUUUAGUUUUAUCUUCAUGAAAUUUUGUACUAUUUUGUUUUCCUGUUUUUCUUCUAGUUUAAUUUUCUGUUCCUGAAUAUUUUUGUUUUAUCAUAAGCUUGAUAAUUUUCUAGCUGCAUUUUGCUCUUCUCAUUACUAUUUUUUUCGUAUGUAUCUCUGUUUUGGUAAUGUUUGCAAUUUGAUAGUAAUUAGAAAGAGGAAUACUAACUACUGGUUAAUCCUAUGCAAAUGCAAUAGAAUCAGUAGCUUGGAUUGUAAUCAUGUGAUCAGAUAAUCUAGUAUUGGAUUUUAAUUGUGUCAUCAGAUUAUCUACUAGUCCAUGUAACUACAUUGCUAGGUUGAUGCUCAAUUCUUUUUUGUUGGCGUAUGUGGAUUAUUGCUGGUAAAAGUAAGCAAAAUAAUCAAAUUGCAAUGUGGAAAUUAAUGUACAGUUCAGAAUGAUUAACAAGUCCUUUGCAUGUACCUUUUUCUUUUCAAUAUUACCCUUGUUGUCAAUCUAUCUUUGUAAACAUUGAAGUCAUCUUGUUCGGUAUCAGGAUGUGGAUAUCCUAAGAUUUAAUCGUCUUGUUUCUUUUGUAUCUAUGUCAAGAUUCAAAACCUAAAAUGUUCUUGAAUUGCUAACUUUUCCUUGUUUUAUACAAGAUAUGACCUUCUUUUUGUCUGCUUCACCAGCUCAAUACUGAAAAGAGCCCUUUCCAGAGAACAUACGCCGCUCAGGUUUGUUUUAGUUCUAUUAAUGACCUCUCACUAAAAUUUGUCUAUUGAAUCUUUGCCUAUUUCAGCAUAUUUGUGUCAGUAGUGGAUCAACUAAAAUGUAAACUUGUAAUGAGUUUAUUUUGUCUUCAGUUUAAUCCAUGUACAUUCUGUUGGAGUGCCUUUAAUUCAUUUUCGUUAUUAUCUUUUAUAUAGAACUUUCAAGUGAUCUAGUUGGAAGUUAUAAUUAGGUUUACAUUAUCCCUUUUUCCAUAGACUAGAGAAUGGGAGAUGAUUAUGUUGUCAAACUACUAAUAAUAGGUUCCGGAGAAGAACAAUGUCUAUCUUAGUUCUAUCCUUUGAUGAGACUAAUGGCUUCGUGAGGUUUCUCUACUGUAUCUGACAUACUUGCAUACUUUCUAGCAGCACUAAGAGUGAAAAUUGCUUUCUGCAGCUUUUGAGAUUGUCAACAUGCUGUUAAUAUUGAGGAAUUUACUUGAUUGCGUAGGUUUGUCGAUAAUGAAAACUUUUUUGGAGAUGAUAUUUUUUAGCUGCUAAGUCCACCUCCAGCUCAUGCAUGAUGUACCUUCUACUCUGUGGGAUAUUUAGCUAGUUAUUGAAAUCAACUCAAGAUAAAAUCCUUGUCUACUUUAAGUUGAACUUGUUUUAUGUUGCAUAGACUCUACACAUCUAUAGAGUUUCACUUUUCUUUUAAUAUGAUCGGCAUAGUUGGUGAAACUCGUCAGUAUAGUCUUAAGCUAAUAGAGUGACAUUUUUGGGUUUAAUAUCUGCCAGAACAAAGAUACCUCUUUCAUCCCCAUCUUACUUUCUGAGAAGUUUCACACGUCAACUUAAGGGUUUAAAAUUUGGUGGAUGAAGUGCAACGAAAUCUAACUAUGUUGGGUUAAUCGUAGCAAGAGAUUGAGUGAAGUCUUAUAGGCUUUAAGACCACCCCCAUUAAAAUGCAAGAGUGACCAUGAGCGUGGCUUAAGAAACUGGAGAAAAGAGAUACACAAGUCAGUUUUUUGUUUUUGAUAAUCCCUGACUCUCUGGCCAUGUUGAACUGCUUAGAUUAGGCCAAAUAACCUUCCAUUCUGCAGCCAUGCCCAACGCUAAGACUUGGUGUUUUCCACAUCUUGACGUCCUUUCUUUUUCAAUUUUGUAUGAGCUAGUGCCUUCUGGAUCUUCUUUCUUUGCUCAGUACACUCUAAGGCAUCCAACUUCAGUAAAAUUGUUGUAUGGAGAGAUUGAAAGGAAUGACAUUCUGUUGCCGAAUAAUCUUUUUGUUUUUCCUUUACUUAAUAUAUACUUCUCUGUAAUUUAUCAGUAUUACCUACGAAAUUAUCAGAUAUAUCUCAUAUAACUCCAUAAGUGGAGGAAGAGUAGUUUCUUUAUGUAUAGAUGUUGAAGUAUGCAGUUUUCAUUGGGAAGUUAAAGUCUAUGAUCUUCCUCUGUGAUCACCUUCAUUAAUUAACUUUUGUUUGUAGAAAUACAACUGAGUUUUGCAUAUUCUUUAUUUUCAUACUAACUAAUUACGUGAAUGCAUGGUAUGUAGAUCAAAAGAUGUGGAGAGAUGGCACGUAAGCUUCGUUUUCUCAAAGAUCAAAUGACAAAGGCAGGCUUUUCACCUUCAUCGAGGUGUAGCUUUGACACUCGUGUUACUUUGGAUGAGCUAGAGGUUAGUUAAGUUUUGACUCCCUGUGCUCACUGUAUGUGGUGGUCAUUGAUGUGAUUAGUUAUUCCAGCAUUUGCAACAGUAUCAUCAACAUCAAUGACACCAGUUACAACAGCUGCAACAAUAUAAUCAUGAUCACUAUUUUUCAGUUUUUGGACAAAUUAUUCACCAGUGUAAUUGGAAUGGUAGGUAAAACUUGGAGAACUUGAAGAAGAGCUUAUAGAAGUGAAUGCCAACAGUGACAAGCUACAACGGUCACACAAUGAGCUUUUGGAGUAUAAGCUUGUUCUGCAGAAGGUAAGGCCACGUUGCAGGCCUUUUUAGUUACAAUUCAAGCAGGAAACUAUAUAUUUUCAGUUGUUUCUUAUUUUUGCACUCAUUACUUUUCAAUCUUGGUCAAUUCAGGCUGGUGAAUUUUUCCAUUCAGCACAAAGCAUUGCUGCAGCCCAGAAUCAUGAAUUUGAAGCAAAUGUUAUGGGAGAAGUAUCUAUUGACAGUCCUCUAUUACUCGAGCAAGUAAUUUUGUCUGAUUUGACCUUAUAUAGUUUUCUCAAGCUAAGACAUUCAGUUAUUUGUCAAAAUUUUCUUUCUAGGAAGUAUAUUUUGAUUGUCAAGUUGAAUAUUGACUAGGAAAUGUCUGUGGAUCCAUCAAAACAAGUAAAGCUGGGUUUUGUUAGUGGCCUUGUAGCAAGGGAGAAGUCAAUGGCUUUUGAACGAAUUUUAUUUCGUGCAACUCGUGGAAAUGUCUUUCUAAAGCAAGUGGCUGUGGAAGAUCCUGUUAUUGAUCCUCUGUCAGGAGAUAAGGUUGAUACUCGAUAUUAGAGCUGUUUGCCAUGUUCUUAUCUUUUGGAUUUGAUUGUGGAUGAUGUCCCAUAUCUCUGUGUGCAUUUUUGUUUCCUGUGAUAUAGAGGUUCUCUGUGCUUUUGAUCUGCAGUGGUGUAUAAUGAUAGGUUUAAAGGUAUGUUUGAUGGACUAUUGCAAUAAUUAAAUUUUUUUUUUCUUAUUGUUUUCUACCUUUUAGUCUGCAAACUAUUUUUCCUACAGUAAAGGGGCGGAUGAAAACUAAUGAAUGAAAAUCACAUGAAAAAAGAUAAACAUAGUUCGAAACUAUCCGAUACCCUGCAAUAUCUUGUUUCCAGAACCUGCAAUUUUUUCCCUUUUGUUGCAUUCCUUUUGUUAUCUUGUUUAAGUAUAGUCCUUUUAUGUAUUUCAUUUGCAUAUAUGUAACCACCGGAUGGUAAUUUCAGAUUGAGAAGAAUGUCUUUGUUAUCUUUUACUCUGGGGAAAGGGCAAGGAUGAAAGUAACAAAGAUUUGUGACGCGUUUGGAGCAAAUCGCUACCCAUUUACAGAUGAUAUAGCCAAACAAUACCAGACAAUAUCUGAGGUAUGGUUUUCUAUUGAAGAGGAUUUAGGUUGAUCAUACCAUCUCCAGUUUUUUUGGGAUGUAAUGUGAGCUUUUCAUUGGUCUUUAUGUUAAGAACAUGUCUGAGAUUAAUUAAAUUGCGAUAUUUAGGUAUCUGGAAAGCUUUCAGAGUUGAAGACCACUAUAGAUGUUGGACAACUUCAGCGAAGCAAUCUUUUACGGACUAUUAGCUUCGAAUUUGAGCAAUGGAACCUUUUGGUUAGUUUCCUUUGAAUAAAUAGUUGGUUUGAUGUUUGCUCUCCUUGCAUAGAGGGCUUGUAUUUCCUCAGUUUGUCUGGAAAUCCUCUUAAAUCACUGAAAUUGCAAUGCCUCUAAAGGUGAAGAAGGAGAAGUCAAUAUAUCACAUUUUAAAUAUGCUGAGUUUUGAUGUGACCAAAAAGUGCCUUGUGGGAGAAGGCUGGUGUCCCAUCUCCGCAACAGAUCAAGUAAAGUUAUCAUACUACUUUCAAUGGUGCACUUUCUUUGUUACCUUUGCAAGUUUUCUGAAACCAAAGUUUUAGCUGUAACUUAUGAAAUGAUAUUUGACUUGGCAGAUAAAAAACACACUGCAGCAGGCAUCUUUGGAUAGCAACUCCCUAGUUGGAGCUAUAUUUCAGGUCCUGCAAACCGAGGAAUCACCACCUACACAUUUCCGCACAAACAAAUUUACUUCUGCUUUCCAGGAAAUUGUUGAUGCAUAUGGGUAAGUAAUAAUAGGAAUUGAUCUGACAUUGAGAUAUGUGAAAAUGAAAACUAUGUUAAAGGUGAUAUGCUUGUUGCUUUAACAAUUUCAAUUGUGUGUUGUACUUUUCUUGGAGUCUGUCAUUUGGAUUCAGGUUUUGCAAAUAUUCCUUGAAUCUCCUUUCUUUCAACUGUUCUAGAAUGUACUUGAUUCUCUAAUGUGAACCUGCUGAAAUGACUUUGAUAUUUUUGUUUGGGUACUUAUGUGUGAGGCCAAGGAGUAUUAAUUCUAGGUUUGCAAAUAUUCCUUGGACAUUUUUGCUUCGACUGUUCUAGAAUUUAUGUAAUUCUCUAACAUUUUCCUCGUGAACUUAACUUUCUUAUUUUUAUUAGGGUAUUUAUAAAUGAGAUGAGAAUUUGUUUGGGGGGGGGGGGGUUUCUGUUGCUUUUAAUGUUAUCAUAUAUUGUUUGAAAUUUACUUGGCCAAUGCCUCUGGUAAUUUUAAAGUUCCCUAGCGAUGAUUUUCUAGAAACUUUUUACAGGGUGGCAAAAUAUCAGGAAGCAAAUCCUGGUGUUUUUACUAUCGUAACAUUUCCCUUUUUAUUUGCCGUUAUGUUCGGAGACUGGGGGCAUGGCUUAUGCUUGUUUCUCGCUACAUUGUAUUUUAUACUCAGGGAGAAGAAAUUGUCCCACCAGGUAAUUUUACAUUGUUUCUGGUUCUUAUUUUUCAAGAGUUCAAUUGUCUAAAUGUGCAUCUUGGAUCUCUCAACUAUUAUGGCUAUCUAAUGUAUCGCAACCUUCAUCAGAAUAUUACAUAAUUUAGUGCAGAUUAAUAUGUUCUUUUCACAAAGUUGUGUUUUAUUUUUGAUUCCUGUGUUUUUAUAACUUUAGCCAUGCACAAUUGAUUUGGUGAUCCUUUACUGCAUUGUCAGUGGAAGAAACAAGUUACUCGAGAGUAGUUAUUAUGUGAUAAACUCUCAGAAUACGGGGAUAUUCUGAAAUAGCUUUUAUGGCUCAGUUAGAGCUGAAAAAUUUGACGUGGAUGUAUGCCUCUUGCUUUUCAAUUACAUAGUGGCUGGAGCCUUCAUGCACUAGACUUUAUAAGUUACAUUCUGCGUGGCAUAGUUCAAGGUUCACCAUAUGUUUCAAGUAAGAGGUGGAUGUGAAUGGUAAUGCUUGAACAGAAAAAACUAUCAGAAAAGUUGGCUGCAUGUUUUAUGAUGCAGGUGAUAGGGUAUUAUAUAUUAAUAUUAAAGCUUCACAUCAUACAGUGUAUAAUAUGCUAAAUCAGCUAUUUCAUGUUUUGUUACAUAUCUUUCUUGAUUGGAUAAUUUUUGUUGAUUUAUAUCAACAGAAGCUUGGAGAUAUUAUGGAGAUGGCUUUUGGUGGUCGUUAUGUUAUUAUGAUGAUGGCACUCUUCUCAAUAUACACAGGAUUGAUAUAUAAUGAGUUUUUUUCUGUUCCUUUUGAACUUUUUGGACGUUCUGCUUAUGACUGCCGAGAUUCUUCAUGCAGGUGUCCAAUUGCUACCUUAACUUCUAGUCACACACCCCCACCUCGAAAUUAAAAAGUAAUAACUAUUCACACAAUCCUUUAACUCAAUGUUCUUUUCAGGGAUGCAUCUACAGUGGGCUUGAUUAAGGUGCGUGGCACCUAUCCUUUUGGUGUUGAUCCCAAAUGGCAUGGCACACGCAGCGAGCUACCAUUCCUCAACUCUUUGAAAAUGAAAAUGUCCAUUUUACUUGGCAUAGCACAGAUGAAUCUCGGAAUAGUUUUAAGCUAUUUCAAUGCAAAGUUCUUUGGGAACGAUAUAAAUAUCUGGUAAGUUUAGAUUCCUGAAUAUGUGCUGUUGCUUGUAUUGCAUGUGUGUAUUUCAUUCACACCAUGCAGUGUUCCAAUUGUAAGUCUUUACAGAUGCAUCUGGGCUUUUAAUUGCAUGGUAGCACAAUAGAGCUCGAAUAUUUGAUGUUGUUGUCGUGAUUGAUAAAUAUGUGCUUUAUACCAUAAUAUUGGCUCGUGUUUACAUCCUUUUGCAGGUACCAGUUUGUUCCCCAGAUUAUUUUUUUAAACAGCCUGUUUGGCUACCUAUCACUUCUCAUAAUUGUGAAAUGGUGCUCCGGUUCCCAAGCUGAUCUCUAUCAUGUAAUGAUAUACAUGUUCUUGAGUCCUACUGCUGAUUUAGGUGAUAAUCAGCUAUUUUUUGGCCAGAAAUAUCUCCAGGUUUUACUUUUAUUUUGAUGAAUAAGUUCUUGGGACCAGUUCAGGUAGAGAAGAACUCUGACUCAUUUCAUGUAUUCCAUUCUACACUAUCCUCAGAUUCUUUUGCUAUUGUUUGCGCUUGUUGCUGUUCCAUGGAUGUUAUUUCCAAAGCCCCUUCUUUUGAAGAAGCAGCACCAGGAAGUAUGUUCUGAAUUAAUUGCAUCGCCUCUGUUAAGUUGGUAGUUUUUACUCUGUUGUCUUCCUGUCUUGAUAUCUAUUUACUUCCAUAACAUGCUUUCUCAGAGACACCGAGGACAAGCCUACAGACCUCUUUAUAGCACUGAGGACUCCUUUGAACUCGAGAUACAAAGUGAUUUACAUGGUCAUGAGGAGUUUGAGUUCAGUGAAGUUUUUGUCCAUCAAUUUAUCCAUACAAUAGAGUUUGUUCUUGGAGCAGUCUCUAACACAGCUUCUUAUCUACGUUUGUGGGCACUUAGGUACAUAUCUGAGGCUGUUGAAAAUUUUAUUUUAAUUAAAAUACAUAAAUCACUUGCUUCUGGAGAAUCUCUUCUUUUUCCAGUAUGACAUUUGGUGUAGAUUAUGAAGUAUUUCGGAAAACUCAAAUUCGGUGGGAAGUUGUUCUUUGCCCAAGCAUGAAUGAAAGAAACAAUGUUUGCAAAUCCCUAACAAAUGAAUGAGCUCCCUGUUGCAUUCACCCUGGCUUUUUUUUUUAAAGGUAGUUUUGUGUUCUUAAUAAUCUUAGAACCAUGACAAGGAAAGUAUGAGAAACUUUUAGGCUGUUUGCAAAUCCCAAUUAUCCUUUUUCUUUAAACCUAUGCCGAAUUCUGUUUCCUUAAGUUGGAUGUUGACAUGUUGUCUUGAAAUCAUAACUGGACUACACUCAGGAAUCAUUGAUAAAUGCAAUUCUACUCUGAUCAUAUUCAUUCAAUCUACUUUAUGCUGAUCUAGUACCACAUAAUGAUUGGAGCAUUGUUGGUUUUGCAGUCUUGCACAUUCAGAACUUUCCAGUGUGUUUUAUGAUAAAGUUCUGCUUCUUGCUUGGGGGUAAGGAUCUCCGUAUUUUUUUUUUUUAUUUUUAAAAAGCUCCUAAAAAUCUUGUAGAAUCUGUUUUAUGACUCACGUGAGGUUCAUUGUGAUCAUGGCGUCAGGUUCAACAACGUCAUUAUCCUCAUCAUUGGGAUUAUUGUGUUUAUAUGUGCUACUGUUGGUGUAUUACUGCUGAUGGAAACCCUGAGUGCAUUUCUCCAUGCCCUGAGGCUUCACUGGGUAGAAUUUCAGAGCAAGUUUUACGAGGGAGAUGGUUACAAGUUUUAUCCAUUCUCAUUUGCAUCACUCAGCGAGGAUGAGGAAUGAUAGGAGCAGUUUUUUUAACAUGACUGAGUUUUAGAUGAUUCAUUUGUGAGUAGACAGAUAUUAGAAGUCCCAGAGGAAUUGCUGAAAAUUUUCGGAGAUUCAAUUCUCUAAAGCACGCCCUUCCGGGUCAAUGUAGUAGUAAUUGUUUUAUGGUGAAUCCCGCAGGCUAGCGGUCAUAUUAGCUCUAUCCGUGGAAAUUGUUACUAAAUUGAUACUCAUGAUGCUAUGAAAGGUAUAACCACGAUUUAUGGCCCCUAGGAUUAAGUCGUCCUGACACUCGUCGUUUGCUGUUUUGUGAAUGAGAGUUCCAUUUAUUUAUCUAAGAGAAGACUUUGCUGCGGUAAAUUUCUUGAUAAAUCCGUCUUUAAGGGUUGCAUAUUUGCAUAAUGUCACAACAUUGGAUAUCAAAUCUGCUGCAAAAUGUACGGACCUCUUAUCCAACCUCUCACAAGGGGAUCAACCCACACCAUAAAAGAACUUUCUGCCCAUUUUCAGAAGCAGCCUUAAAAAUAAUUCUCAAACUAAUUACGCGCCAUGGUAGUCAACAGAAGUUACAGAACUUCAAAGUGCAUCCAUAUUGCCACGAAAAAGGAUAAAAAUAAUAAUAAUCGGCACAAACGGCAGUAAAAAUUAAAACCGCUAUUCUGAUAUACGUCGAGUUCUAAUUUAAACCAUUUUAGGAAUGUUUGUUGGAGCCUCGAGGUGAUACCAUGCAGACCAUCUUCUAGAAUACAUUAACGGAAAGUAGUUCCCAUAUACACAAUACCCAAAUAAGUUCACAUUUAAGUACAAUACCACCAAAUGAAGAUCAAUGACUUGAUACUGAGUUGAUGUGUGAUAGGACCGCCAAAUGAAGGUUAAUGACUUUUAAUACUGAGUUCAUGUGUGAACGGCAGCCACAGAUGAGACCAUAGAAUCAACCCCGCACAAAUUGCGAUCAGCCCUACAGAACUUGUAGUAGCCAUUCUCUCCCCAGUUUUCACCCCACGAGUUCUUUAUGAUCCAGUAAGGCUUGUCCUUGAGCCGGAUAGGGGCGUAGCCCGCAGCACCAUACCCAACUAAAAGCACCCCGUGAUCCUGGCUCUUUGAACAAAUGUAUGGGCAUGAAACCCCUCCAAUAUAUGUCUGCAUCCAGAUUGCAUUGAUCGCAACUGCAGAUGGGGACAAAAAAAAAUAGAGGAAACAGUAUUAGCAUCUCUGUCGUCAACUCCCAACUAAUACAGAAAAUUUCACUUCUCAACUCUCUCCCAGGCAGCUUACUCUGGGGGUGUUCAAGUAUUGAAGUAGCUGAUUACCUGCAAGAGGGCCAUGCUUCACCAGAUUUGCAGCAAUCUGAUCUUCGUCGGUGGAGACAACACUGAAGUUGGACACUUUAGCAGCAAUUUUGCUCUUAUCAAAUUUACAUUUCUCAUCCCUGCCAGUGUAAGGAUAAUCUUGCUCACGUUCAACUCCACCAGAUUUCAGUAUGUACUCGAAGGCAUUGUUCAUUAAUCCGCCAUUACAACCAGAAUCACAUGAAUUAUAUUCUGCUGGAUCGCACUGCAAAAGGUGAAUGCUAAGUCAAUUAAGACAACACUACAUCAACAAGCUCAAUAUCUGCAGCUGCGCAUCAUAAUUUCCUCAUUACUACACAAUACACAUGCUAAGAAGACCGUCCAACCAAUCUGGGCACAAACCAACAUCGGCCCCAUGUCCAGGAACAAAAAGCAAUCUGACCAUACCCUCAAAAUGCACAAAAGCUUAGUUCAUUUAUAUCGCGUAUCUGUCUUCAAUUGAAAAGGAAUUUUAGUUUCACAUAAGAGAUUCAGAAACAUGCUCAUCAACAAAGGGCACCAAGGUACUAAUAAGAUUAUACAGUAUAUACUUUAUCAAGUCAAACUAGAUUACAUCCUGUGGUCUUCAUGCGCGGCAGACAACAGUAGUGAAUAUAGAGAUAAAAAUACAUAGAAUUGAGAGUUGAACGUCACAAAAGUUCAUACUUCAAAUUAAUCUUGUCGUGAGGCAGAAACCAUCAAGCUAGCAACAUCUAUCCUUUUUCAGUUAACCAACUUGAAACAAAACUAUCAUUCAGGCCCUCCAAUUUUUGUACUCAGAGAUAGACAGAAAAAAUUUUUAAAUCUUGGAAAUAUGCAUAACAAAAUUACUAAUUGAUUAUCUAGCUACUGAUCAGAGAUAGGUUUCUGUCCAAUAGUUCUUUAUCCAUUAUUCAGACCAAAUGCAAAAGUCAACGCGAAGAAAACUCAUACCUCAUGGUCACAAUCCACAAGCUGCUGCUCGCUGAGGCUGACUAGCUCUCUGGUGGCCAAAUAGUGCGCUCCUUCCAACGCUCCGGUUGUACUGAAGGACCAGCAUGAUCCGCAGGAACCCUAACAAACACCCAAACUCCGUCAAAGUAAUCGGACGAAACGUUAUAAUAGGACUCACGAGUGACUCAAAUGAAGCUAACAAUACCUGAUCUUUGACGGGGGUGACGGCUCCAUGGUCACGCCAGUCAAAAUCAGCAGGAAGAUCGGUGGUAGGGAGGAUCGGAGCCUUGUUAGCAUCGGCAGGGAGUCUGAGCCGUCGCUUGUGCUUAUUAAGUCCGAGGUGGUUACGCCGGAACUCGGACGGAGUGAGGUCAGAGAACUUAGUAACGCCGUGGACGGCGGAAGGGUCAAGGAGCUGGUGGCGCUUAGCACGGCGCAAGUUAGCCUUGAAAACCGAGAAUCGGUGGUCGUGCUCCUCCUGCGUGGAAUAAGUCUUGCCGUACUUGGUCUUGAAGAGUGAGAAAUGGUGAUCUGCGUUCAGGAGAGGAUCAGCAUCAUCGCCGUCCGGUGUUACGACCUGUCUGAUCAACGGAUCGUCUUGGAUGAUGGACGCGGCUUCACGGUCGCCUGCCGCGGACGCAACCGCAGAGGAUAGCAGAGUGAAGCUGAGAAGGAGAGAGAAAAGAAAGAGACGAUCCAUUGGACUUGAAGAGUGCACUGUGUAGUGGAUCAGAAACGUGAGAUGGUUUCCAUGGAUGUAGGGGUGAGAUUAUAUAAUGGGUGCUGGAGGACAGUAGGUGGAAAUAAGCGAACAAGAUUUUGCAACGUGGUCCGCCUUUAUUACUUUAUUGUUGAUA